AAGAGAGAAGAGGAACAGAGGUAAUGGCUGACCGCCAUGGCCAGUAGAGCGCAUAGGUGAGAGACAGAGUAGAGAGGAAGCAGAGAGCAGAAUAGAGAGGAAGAGAGAGCAUAAAUGGGUAGGGAUCUGUCUUUUAAAGGGGUCCCCUGCACCUGCAUGCAGACUUAGUUCCCAUGGAACCUGGGGCUGACCAUGGUACUGCCUGUUCUACCAGGUAACAGGGGCAGGCCAGCAUAAUGCCUGAACCUUUCACUUUGAGACUUGGUGAAGAACUCAUGUGUGGAACAGUCCUUUCAGCCUGAGGUAGAGACAAUAAUAAUCAAGUUGUGGAGACUGUUCCUUGGGAAGCCCACAUCUAUGGUCUUGGGUCUGCCUUACUGUUUCUUAGGCAUCACCUCUCCAUCUGCCCAAUUAUAUCAGUGCAGCAAACUAUGCCUUUUUACUUCUUGC
rnacentral:lncRNA from 1 species